GCAUAAUCAUUAGUUUUUUAAUUGGAGACUGGAAUGAAGGGUUGAUACUGAAAGGAAGGUUUUAUUAGAUAAAUUUGAAUUUAAAUUAAAAGUAAAAAUGCUUUUAUUAAUCUUUGGGACGAGAAGACCCUAGAAGCUAUAGAUUAAAAAAUAAUCUUUGAUUGGGGCAAUUGUUGAAGAAAUUAAUUUUUAAUUAUUUUAGUUAUUUUAAAAAAGUUACUCUAGGGAUAACAGCAUUAUUUAAUUAGCAAGUUCUUAUUAAUAGUUAAGUUUGUGACCUCGAUGUUGAAUUAAAU
rnacentral:rRNA from 1 species